rnacentral:rRNA from 1 species
UACGUAGGUGGCAAGCGUUGUCCGGAUUUAUUGGGUUUAAAGGGUGCGUAGGCGGUCUUUUAAGUCAGUGCUGAAAUACUCCAGCUUAACUGGAGGGGUGGCAUUGAUACUGGAAGACUUGAGUGUAGUCGAGGUAGGCGGAAUUGACGGUGUAGCGGUGAAAUACUUAGAUAUCGUCAAGAACACCGAUAGUGAAGACAGCUUACUAGGCUACAACUGACGCUGAGGCACGAAAGUGUGGGGAUCAAACAGG